CUGCCAGUUCCACAUAAAGGGUGCACCUCUGAGGCUGAGGGGAUUUAAAAGAGCCUCAAACCUUCCAGUAUCCAGCUGAGAUUCCAGUCAGAAGGAGGAGGAGGAAGUGGAGACAGCUCUGUAUAUCACUCCACACUGAGACACAGCAACCCUGGCUGAUAGAUUUACUUUAAGUGUGUGCAAGGGAGAAGGUCCAAACUCAUGGACCUGGGAUGAAGCAGCUUCCUGCAAUUAUUUACAUAGCAGAUCCAUCAGUACCACUGCAGACAGCUCCUGCUUGAGGCAGCUGAUGGAGCAAGGACAGCAAGGGGAAAAGGAAACAUCAUCUUGAUUUUCCAAACAGGAAAGGGUGGUGCAGAGACAACGUAACGGGGGACUGGAGUACUCUGAAUGUCCUGGAGCAGGACUGUGGCUCUUCUCCAGAAGCACUGCUGCCCCUGGAGAUGCUGCAGGUGCUCCUCAGGGCUUUGAGCCAAUCCCAGCUGGAUGGGAUCCACUGCUUGCCAAGGCCGAACCCAUCCGCGAUGGUGGGAGCACCUCUGGGAUAAUGUGUUUAAGAAGAGGAAAAUCUGCAGUGCAGUGGCAGCCAGAGAGAGGAGUGAGGAGAUGGGAGAGCAGCAGCCCUGCAGACACCAAGGUCAGUGAAACAGAAGUGGAGAGGAGGUGCCAAACUUGAGACUCCCCCAGAGCCCGUGGAAGCUCAUGGUGUACAGUGGGUAUUUUCACCCCGAUGAAGGGGAGAGAGAAUGAUGCAUCCGACUCCAUCAUAUCAGAAGGCCUAAUAAUGACUUUAUUAUACUAUAUUAUUCUAUGCUAUAUUACAUUAUAUUACAUUUCAUCUAAACUGAAUCUGCCAAGCACUCAACUGCUCUGAAUCUCCUGUCUGUCACCUGACAAUCCUGACACACACACACACCUAGCCCUAAUAGGCCAAGGAAACAAAACACCA